CCUACGGGUGGCAGCAGUAGGGAAUAUUGCUCAAUGGGGGAAACCCUGAAGCAGCAACGCCGCGUGGAGGAUGAAGGUUUUCGGAUUGUAAACUCCUUUUGUUAGAGAAGACAAUGACGGUAUCUAACGAAUAAGCACCGGACAACUCCGUGCCAGCAGCCGCGGUAAUACGGAGGGUGCAAGCGUUACUCGGAAUAACUGGGCGUAAAGAGCGCGUAGGCGGGAUAGCAAGUCAGAUGUGAAAACCUAUGGCUUAACCAUAGAACUGCAUUUGAAACUGUUGUUCUAGAGUAUGGGAGAGGUAGGUGGAAUUCUUGGUGUAGGGGUAAAAUGCGUAGAGAUCAAGAAGAAUACUCAUUGCGAAGGCGGCCUGCUAGAACAUAACUGACGCUGAUGUGCGAAAGCGUGGGGAGCGAACAGGAUUAGAUACCCCAGUAGUC
rnacentral:rRNA from 1 species